AGCGUACACGGUGGAUGCCCUGGCAGUCAGAGGCGAUGAAGGACGUGCUAAUCUGCGAUAAGCGUCGGUAAGGUGAUAUGAACCGUUAUAACCGGCGAUUUCCGAAUGGGGAAACCCAGUGUGUUUCGACACACUAUCAUUAACUGAAUCCAUAGGUUAAUGAGGCGAACCGGGGGAACUGAAACAUCUAAGUACCCCGAGGAAAAGAAAUCAACCGAGAUUCCCCCAGUAGCGGCGAGCGAACGGGGAGCAGCCCAGAGCCUGAAUCAGUGUGUGUGUUAGUGGAAGCGUCUGGAAAGGCGCGCGAUACAGGGUGACAGCCCCGUACACAAAAAUGCACAUGCUGUGAGCUCGAUGAGUAGGGCGGGACACGUGGUAUCCUGUCUGAAUAUGGGGGGACCAUCCUCCAAGGCUAAAUACUCCUGACUGACCGAUAGUGAACCAGUACCGUGAGGGAAAGGCGAAAAGAACCCCGGCGAGGGGAGUGAAAAAGAACCUGAAACCGUGUACGUACAAGCAGUGGGAGCACGCUUAGGCGUGUGACUGCGUACCUUUUGUAUAAUGGGUCAGCGACUUAUAUUCUGUAGCAAGGUUAACCGAAUAGGGGAGCCGAAGGGAAACCGAGUCUUAACUGGGCGUUAAGUUGCAGGGUAUAGACCCGAAACCCGGUGAUCUAGCCAUGGGCAGGUUGAAGGUUGGGUAACACUAACUGGAGGACCGAACCGACUAAUGUUGAAAAAUUAGCGGAUGACUUGUGGCUGGGGGUGAAAGGCCAAUCAAACCGGGAGAUAGCUGGUUCUCCCCGAAAGCUAUUUAGGUAGCGCCUCGUGAACUCAUCUCCGGGGGUAGAGCACUGUUUCGGCAAGGGGGUCAUCCCGACUUACCAACCCGAUGCAAACUGCGAAUACCGGAGAAUGUUAUCACGGGAGACACACGGCGGGUGCUAACGUCCGUCGUGAAGAGGGAAACAACCCAGACCGCCAGCUAAGGUCCCAAAGUCAUGGUUAAGUGGGAAACGAUGUGGGAAGGCCCAGACAGCCAGGAUGUUGGCUUAGAAGCAGCCAUCAUUUAAAGAAAGCGUAAUAGCUCACUGGUCGAGUCGGCCUGCGCGGAAGAUGUAACGGGGCUAAACCAUGCACCGAAGCUGCGGCAGCGACGCUUAUGCGUUGUUGGGUAGGGGAGCGUUCUGUAAGCCUGUGAAGGUGUACUGUGAGGUAUGCUGGAGGUAUCAGAAGUGCGAAUGCUGACAUAAGUAACGAUAAAGCGGGUGAAAAGCCCGCUCGCCGGAAGACCAAGGGUUCCUGUCCAACGUUAAUCGGGGCAGGGUGAGUCGACCCCUAAGGCGAGGCCGAAAGGCGUAGUCGAUGGGAAACAGGUUAAUAUUCCUGUACUUGGUGUUACUGCGAAGGGGGGACGGAGAAGGCUAUGUUGGCCGGGCGACGGUUGUCCCGGUUUAAGCGUGUAGGCUGGUUUUCCAGGCAAAUCCGGAAAAUCAAGGCUGAGGCGUGAUGACGAGGCACUACGGUGCUGAAGCAACAAAUGCCCUGCUUCCAGGAAAAGCCUCUAAGCAUCAGGUAACAUCAAAUCGUACCCCAAACCGACACAGGUGGUCAGGUAGAGAAUACCAAGGCGCUUGAGAGAACUCGGGUGAAGGAACUAGGCAAAAUGGUGCCGUAACUUCGGGAGAAGGCACGCUGAUAUGUAGGUGAAGUCCCUCGCGGAUGGAGCUGAAAUCAGUCGAAGAUACCAGCUGGCUGCAACUGUUUAUUAAAAACACAGCACUGUGCAAACACGAAAGUGGACGUAUACGGUGUGACGCCUGCCCGGUGCCGGAAGGUUAAUUGAUGGGGUUAGCGCAAGCGAAGCUCUUGAUCGAAGCCCCGGUAAACGGCGGCCGUAACUAUAACGGUCCUAAGGUAGCGAAAUUCCUUGUCGGGUAAGUUCCGACCUGCACGAAUGGCGUAAUGAUGGCCAGGCUGUCUCCACCCGAGACUCAGUGAAAUUGAACUCGCUGUGAAGAUGCAGUGUACCCGCGGCAAGACGGAAAGACCCCGUGAACCUUUACUAUAGCUUGACACUGAACAUUGAGCCUUGAUGUGUAGGAUAGGUGGGAGGCUUUGAAGUGUGGACGCCAGUCUGCAUGGAGCCGACCUUGAAAUACCACCCUUUAAUGUUUGAUGUUCUAACGUUGACCCGUAAUCCGGGUUGCGGACAGUGUCUGGUGGGUAGUUUGACUGGGGCGGUCUCCUCCUAAAGAGUAACGGAGGAGCACGAAGGUUGGCUAAUCCUGGUCGGACAUCAGGAGGUUAGUGCAAUGGCAUAAGCCAGCUUGACUGCGAGCGUGACGGCGCGAGCAGGUGCGAAAGCAGGUCAUAGUGAUCCGGUGGUUCUGAAUGGAAGGGCCAUCGCUCAACGGAUAAAAGGUACUCCGGGGAUAACAGGCUGAUACCGCCCAAGAGUUCAUAUCGACGGCGGUGUUUGGCACCUCGAUGUCGGCUCAUCACAUCCUGGGGCUGAAGUAGGUCCCAAGGGUAUGGCUGUUCGCCAUUUAAAGUGGUACGCGAGCUGGGUUUAGAACGUCGUGAGACAGUUCGGUCCCUAUCUGCCGUGGGCGCUGGAGAACUGAGGGGGGCUGCUCCUAGUACGAGAGGACCGGAGUGGACGCAUCACUGGUGUUCGGGUUGUCAUGCCAAUGGCACUGCCCGGUAGCUAAAUGCGGAAGAGAUAAGUGCUGAAAGCAUCUAAGCACGAAACUUGCCCCGAGAUGAGUUCUCCCUGACUCCUUGA
rnacentral:rRNA from 1 species